GGAUGUUGAGGUCGGGAGGUGGCAGUGGGGCCGGCAGGGGGUGUCCCAGCACCACAAUCAGCUGCGGGUGGCAGCGCUGCAUCCUCCCCCGACUGUGGUGCUCCAUCUGUCUCCAGUGUAAGAUGGGAACUGAAGCAGGAGAAGCGUGACUGUUGUGGCCAAAGUCACCCUGGGAGUCCACAGAACUGCAUCCUGAUCUUUGAAGUCCAAUUUCAUUAUCUGUAUCAUGUAUUGCCUUUCUGUUCCCUUGCUGCUG
rnacentral:lncRNA from 1 species